UUGGCGGCGUGGAUUAGGCAUGCAAGUCGAGCGAAUCCCCAGCAAUGGGGGGAAGCGGCGAAAGGGGCAGUAAGGCAUGGAUAACCUACCCUGGGGACUGGGAUAGCCCUUCGAGAGAAGGGGUAAUACCGGGCGACGUGUUGAGGAGGCAUCUUCUUAACACCAAAUGAGUUUCGCCCUGGGAGGGGUCCAUGUGAUAUUACCUAGUUGGCGGGGUAACGGCCCACCAAGGGGAAGAUGCCUAGCAGGUGUGAGAGCACGACCUGCGCCACUGGCACUGAGAACUGGCCAGACACCUACGGGUGGCUGCAGUCGAGGAUCUUCGGCAAUGGGCGCAAGCCUGACCGAGCGACGCCGCGUGUGCGAUGAAGGCCUUCGGGUUGUAAAGCACUGUCGAGGGGGAGAAAAGGGCAACCUUGAUCUAUCCCUGGAGGAAGCACGGGCUAAGUUCGUGCCAGCAGCCGCGGUAAGACGAACCGUGCGAACGUUAUUCGGAAUCACUGGGCUUAAAGGGCGCGUAGGCGGGUUGCCAAGUCUGCGGUGAAAUCCUCCGGCUCAACCGGAGAACGGCCGUG
rnacentral:rRNA from 1 species